rnacentral:rRNA from 1 species
UACGGGGGGGGCAAGCGUUGUUCGGAAUUACUGGGCGUAAAGGGCGCGUAGGCGGGCCUAUAAGUCGAUUGUGAAAGCCCCGGGCUCAACCCGGGAAUUGCAUUUGAGACUGCGUAGCUAGGGUGCGGAAGAGGGAAGCGGAAUUUCCGGUGUAGCGGUGAAAUGCGUAGAUAUCGGAAGGAACACCAGUGGCGAAAGCGGCUUCCUGGUCCAGCACCGACGUUCAGGCACGAAAGCGUGGGGAGCAAACAGG